GGCUACGAACCGAGCGGUCGGAGGUUCGAAUCCUCCCGGAGGAGGAUAACGUUGCUUUAGCAACGGCCCGAAGGGCGAGCCGCAAGGCGAGUAAUCC
rnacentral:sRNA from 1 species